CAGCAUCUCCAUGUCCCAGCCAUGAGGAGUGAUCAGUCAAUGGGUCAUCCAGAGGAUUUAAAAGAAUCCAGCUCAGAGCAGCAGGGAAGAUCCUCUUCAUGUCCCAACCAAAAGUCUAUAAGGAGUGAUCAGUGUGUGAGUUGUCCACUGGAUUUAAAAGAAUCUAGUGCUGCCUCACCCCUUGAUCAAAAUUGAGAAGCAGUCCAAUCAAAUCUGAGAUUUCAGUGUUUGUGUGAAGGGAUAUCAAGACAUAGUAACCUCAUACCUCUCAACGAGAUCUACAC